GAUCUAAAAACUGAAUUCUGAGAUGAAGACUCAGAAAUCUGAGAUAUAAACUCAGAAUUUCAACAAGAAGAUCAGAAUUAUAAGAUGUAAACUCAGAAGUCUGAGAAACAAAAUCAUAAUUGUGAGAUCUAAACUCAUUAUUCCGACAAUAAAGUCAGAAUUGCUAGAUCUAAACUCAGUAUUCCAACAGUAAAGUCAGAAUUGUAAGAUAUAAACUCAGUAAACCAACAAAGUCAGAAUUGCAAGAUCUAAACUCAGUAUUCCGACAAUAAAGUCAGAAUUGCUAGAUCUAAACUCAGUAUUCCGACAAUAAAGUCAGAAUUGCUAGAUCUAAACUCAGUAUUCCAACAGUUUACCAUAAAGUCAGUAUUGUGAGAUCUAAACUCAGUAUUCCGACAAUAAAGUCAGAAUUGCUAGAUCUAAAGUCAGUAUUCCGACAAUAAAGUCAGAAUUGCGAGAUGUAAACUCAGUAUUCCGACAAUAAAGUCAGAAUUGCGAGAUAUAAACUCAGUAUUCCAACCAUAAAGUCAGAAUUGUGAGACCUAAACUCAGUAAACCAAUAAAGUCAGAAUUGCGAGAUCUAAACUCAGUAUUCCAACAGUAAAGUCAGAAUUGUGAGAUCUAAACUCAGUAUUCCAACCAUAAAGUCAGAAUUGUGAGAUCUAAACUCAGUAUUCCAACCAUAAAGUCAGAAUUGUGAGAUGUAAAUUCAGUAUUCCGACAAUAAAGUCAGAAUUUCGAGAUCUUAACUCAGUAUUCCGACAAUAAAGUCAGAAUUGCGAGAUCUAAACUCAGUAUUCUAGGAAAAAAUACCUUCUGAGAUUGUGCAGCAGAUCAGUGUGAGCCGACAACUGUUUGUCGUAGGAAACUUGUCACAUUGUGCCUGGUUAGAACAGUGUUUAAUUCAUGGACUGCUAUUGUAAUAGAAAGUGCAAUUGUGUUUUCUAUGUAUCAAACAUCAAGAUGAUCAGAGGAAUAUGGUUUUAAAAUCUCGUCACACAGUUUUGCUAAAUGGCUAUUUCCUCAGAGAAAAUACUGUGGUCAAUGUAAUUCAUCUUUCUCUUUGUUUACUUUUCUAAUAUAUAUCAGGGUCAUAUAUUGAAUCAUUUAUCUGUGUGAUUUCCAGAUGAUCUAUAACAUGCAUGUCAUUUGGUAAUAAGCUUUAUUGUUUUUGCUACAGGUACACAGGAACAGCCGGAGAGAUUAUUCAGAUUUAUUGCGGUACAUUAGGAAGCAGAUGCGGUUUGUCAGGAAAGGCUUAAAUUUCAUUCGCGAGAUCAAAAACAUGAUGCUUGAAAGAUCCUGUGAAAUAUUAAUAAAUCUGCCCCUGGAAGGCGAUCUCUCCUUUUUCUCUAUUUCUGUUUGCAAGCUCUUCAUUAAGUGGGUUUAUGAACAUGACAGAUACAUUUGGUGCAUAUGUAGGAGCUCUGGGUGGAAUGUCAAUGUUGCUGCCUAUAGUAGACUCACAUUGAUGUUUACAUUUUGCUACAUUAUCAUGCUUGCUGGAGUACAUGGGAUCUUUUAUUAGUGGUGAAAUGCAAUCAUUUAGCAUUUGGGCUACAGAACAUAUCUGUUCUGAAUGUCUCGCACAAGUUUGUAGCCGAAGGACGAAACCAACUCUGUGACUCCAUCUCAAGUGCUAACAUCUUUUUGUGUAUAAUUCUUUACUCUCAAGUGAUCGGUUCUAUUUUUGUUAUAUCUAUAUGUAUAGCUAUAUAUAUUGGGACUUGUGUUUGCUGAUUCUCUGAUGUAGAGAUUCUGUAGGAUGUUGAUCAUCAUUGACGUGGUACUGCAGAUGACUUUUGUUAACAUUUGUUGAUAUUCCAGUUUCUUGCAGUUUUGUGGGGAAAAUAAAAAUGUGAGAAAAUGCUUACGGCUGUAUAAAAACAUUUUCAAUUUUCUUGACAUGGAAACCGUUGUGGUGUGGUAUGAAAUCUUUUCAGUCAUUAUUAAAAACAUGGAAUAAAUCCA